GUCGACGAGCGCAACCCUUGUCCUUAGUUACCAGCACGUUAUGGUGGGCACUCUAAGGAGACUGCCGGUGACAAACCGGAGGAAGGUGGGGAUGACGUCAAGUCAUCAUGGCCCUUACGGCCUGGGCUACACACGUGCUACAAUGGUCGGUACAAAGGGUUGCCAAGCCGCGAGGUGGAGCUAAUCCCAUAAAACCGAUCGUAGUCCGGAUCGCAGUCUGCAACUCGACUGAGUGAAGUCGGAAUCGCUAGUAAUCGUGAAUCAGAAUGUCACGGUGAAUACGUUCCCGGGCCUU
rnacentral:rRNA from 1 species